UAGAAAACAACCAGGACUAUAUUCG
rnacentral:piRNA from 1 species